UACGUAGGGGGCAAGCGUUGUCCGGAUUUAUUGGGCGUAAAGAGCGUGUAGGCGGCCAUACAGGUCAGCUGUGAAAACUCGAGGCUCAACCUCGAGACGUCGGUUGAAACCGUUUGGCUAGAGUCCGGAAGAGGAGAGUGGAAUUCCCGGUGUAGCGGUGAAAAUGCGCAGAUAUCGGGAAGAACACCCGUGGCGAAGGCGGCUCUCUGGGACGGUACUGACGCUGAGACGCGAAAGCGUGGGGAGCGAACAGG
rnacentral:rRNA from 1 species